GAUGAACGCUGGCGGCGUGCUUAACACAUGCAAGUCGAGCGGAAAGGCUCCUUCGGGGGUACUCGAGCGGCGAACGGGUGAGUAACACGUGAGUAAUCUGCCCUGCGCUCUGGGAUAGCCACCGGAAACGGUGAUUAAUACCGGAUAUGACCACUUCAGGCAUCUGAUGGUGGUGGAAAGUUUUUCGGCGUGGGAUGUGCUCGCGGCCGAUCAGCUUGUUGGUGAGGUAAUGGCUCACCAAGGCUUUGACGGGUAGCCGGCCUGAGAGGGUGACCGGUCACACUGGGACUGAGACACGGCCCAGACUCCUACGGGAGGCAGCAGUGGGGAAUAUUGGACAAUGGGCGGAAGCCUGAUCCAGCAACGCCGCGUGAGGGAUGACGGCCUUCGGGUUGUAAACCUCUUUCAGUACCGACGAAGCGAAAGUGACGGUAGGUACAGAAGAAGGACCGGCCAACUACGUGCCAGCAGCCGCCGUAAGAC
rnacentral:rRNA from 1 species